GGAAGGAUCAUUAUUGAAUUUAAUGUAGAGUUGGUUGUAGCUGGCCUAAUCAAUAAUUUGGGCAUGUGCACACCUUCUCUUUCAUCCACACACACCUGUGCACCUGUGAGACAGAGUGGGAAUUUUAAUUUAAUUUAAUUGGACCCUCUGUCUACUUAAUUCACACAAACUCUAUUUAUUAUAAAAUGAAUGUAAUUGAUGUAACACAUCUAAUACUAAGUUUCAACAACGGAUCUCUUGGCUCUCGCAUCGAUGAAGAACGCAGCGAAAUGCGAUAAGUAAUGUGAAUUGCAGAAUUCAGUGAAUCAUCGAAUCUUUGAACGCACCUUGCGCUCCUUGGUAUUCCUUGGAGCAUGCCUGUUUGAGUAUCAUGAAAUCUUCAAAGUAAAUCUUUUGUUAAUUCAAUUGGCUAUACUUUGGACCUGGAGGUUAUUGCAGCUUCACACCUGCUCCUCUUUGUGCAUUAGCUGGAUCUCAGUGUUAUGCUUGGUUCCACUCAGCGUGAUAAGUAUCUAUCGCUGAGGACACUGUAACAGGUGGCCAAGGUAAAUGCAGAUGAACCGCUUCUAAUCGUCCAUUUAUUUGGACAAUAACUUUUAUGAUCUGAUCUCAAAUCAGGUAGGACUACCCGCUGAACUUAAGCAUAUCAAUAAGCGGAGGAAAAGAAACUAACAAGGAUUCCCCUAGUAACGGCGAGUGAAGCGGGAAGAGCUCAAAUUUAAAAUCUGGCAGUGUAUUCUGUCCGAGUUGUAGUCUAGAGAAGCAUCAUCCGUGCUGGACCAUGUACAAGUCUCUUGGAACAGAGCGUCAUAGAGGGUGAGAAUCCCGUCCUUGACAUGGACUCCCAGUACUUUGUGUUGUGCUCUCAACGAGUCGAGUUGUUUGGGAAUGCAGCUCAAAAUGGGUGGUAAAUUCCAUCUAAAGCUAAAUAUUGGCGAGAGACCGAUAGCGAACAAGUACCGUGAGGGAAAGAUGAAAAGCACUUUGGAGAGAGAGUUAAACAGUACGUGAAAUUGUUGAAAUGGAAACGCUUGAAGUCAGUCGCGUUCUCUGGGAUUCAGCCUUGCUUCUGCUUGGUGCAUUUCCUAGUCUACGGGCCAGCAUGAAUUUUGACCAGUGGAAAAAGAUUUGGGGAAUGUGGCACCUUCGGGUGUGUUAUAGCCCCUUGUCACAUACACUGGUUGGGAUUGAGGUCUUAGUGCACGCUUCGGUUGUGCUUUGAUGCUGGCGUAAUGGCUUUAAACGACCCGUCUUGAAACACGGACCAAGGAGUCUAACAUGUCUGCAAGUGUUUGGGUGCAAAACCCGAGCGCGUAAUGAAAGUGAUAGUUGGGAACCUCAUUAGGGGGGCACCGACGCCCGGACCAGACCUUCUGUGACGGAUCCGAGGUAGAGCAUAUAUGUUGGGACCCGAAAGAUGGUGAACUAUGCCUGCAUAGGGUGAAGCCAGAGGAAACUCUGGUGGAGGCUCGUAGCGAUUCUGACGUGCAAAUCGAUCGUCAAAUGUGGGUAUAGGGGCGAAAGACUAAUCGAACCAUCUAGUAGCUGGUUCCUGC
rnacentral:misc_RNA from 1 species